AUGGCUCAGGACUGAACGCUAGCUACAGGCCUAACACAUGCAAGUCGAGGGGCAGCAGAUCGAAAGCUUGCUUUGAUGCUGGCGACCGGCGAAUGGGUGAGUCACGCGUGUCCAACCUGGCCCUGUGCCCCGGGGGAUAGGCCCUUGGAAAUGAAGGAUUAACACCCGAUAGGUGGCGCUUCCGCAUGGCGGCGCCAUGAAACCGACACAGGAUGGGGACGCGUCGAUUAGCUUGACGGCGGGGCGACGGCCCACCGUGGCGACGAUCCGCAGGGGUUCUGAGAGGAAGGUCCCCCACACUGGCACUGAGACACGGGCCAGACUCCUACGGGAGGCAGCAGUGAGGAAUAUUGGUCAAUGGCCGAGAGGCUGAACCAGCCAAGUAGCGUGCAGGACGACGGCCCUACGGGUUGUAAACUGCUUUUGCGGGAGGAUAAAUGACACUACGUGUAGUGUUUUGCAGGUAUCCCGUGAAUAAGGACCGGCUAAUUCCGUGCCAGCAGCAGC
rnacentral:rRNA from 1 species